rnacentral:rRNA from 1 species
GAUGGACUCGCGGCCUAUCAGCUUGUUGGUGGGGUAAUGGCCUACCAAGGCGACGACGGGUAGCCGGCCUGAGAGGGUGACCGGCCACACUGGGACUGAGACACGGCCCAGACUCCUACGGGAGGCAGCAGUGGGGAAUAUUGCACAAUGGGCGGAAGCCUGAUGCAGCGACGCCGCGUGAGGGAUGACGGCCUUCGGGUUGUAAACCUCUUUCAGUAGGGAAGAAGCGUAAGUGACGGUACCUGCAGAAGAAGCGCCGGCUAACUACGUGCCAGCAGCCGCGGUAAUACGUAGGGCGCAAGCGUUAUCCGGAAUUAUUGGGCGUAAAGAGCUCGUAGGCGGUUUGUCGCGUCUGCCGUGAAAGUCCGGGGCUCAACUCCGGAUCUGCGGUGGGUACGGGCAGACUAGAGUGAUGUAGGGGAGACUGGAAUUCCUGGUGUAGCGGUGAAAUGCGCAGAUAUCAGGAGGAACACCGAUGGCGAAGGCAGGUCUCUGGGCAUUAACUGACGCUGAGGAGCGAAAGCAUGGGGAGCGAACAGGAUUAGAUACCCUGGUAGUCCAUGCCGUAAACGUUGGGCACUAGGUGUGGGGGACAUUCCACGUUUUCCGCGCCGUAGCUAACGCAUUAAGUGCCCCGCCUGGGGAGUACGGCCGCAAGGCUAAAACUCAAAGGAAUUGACGGGGGCCCGCACAAGCGGCGGAGCAUGCGGAUUAAUUCGAUGCAACGCGAAGAACCUUACCAAGGCUUGACAUGAACCGGAAACGCCUGGAAACAGGUGCCCCACUUGUGGUCGGUUUACAGGUGGUGCAUGGUUGUCGUCAGCUCGUGUCGUGAGAUGUUGGGUUAAGUCCCGCAACGAGCGCAACCCUCGUUCUAUGUUGCCAGCACGUGAUGGUGGGGACUCAUAGGAGACUGCCGGGGUCAACUCGGAGGAAGGUGGGGACGACGUCAAAUCAUCAUGCCCCUUAUGUCUUGGGCUUCACGCAUGCUACAAUGGCCGGUACAAAGGGUUGCGAUA